AGGAUGAACGCUGGCGGCGUGCCUAAUACAUGCAAGUCGUGCGGUAACAGGAGGAGCUUGCUCCUUGCUGACGAGCGGCGGACGGCUGAGUAACGCGUAGGAACCUACCCCAAACUGAGGGAUAAGCACCAGAAAUGGUGUCUAAUACCGCAUGUGCUCUACGGAGUAAAGCUUCGGCGGUUUGGGAAGGGCCUGCGUAUGAUUAGCUUGUUGGUGAGGUAAUAGCUCACCAAGGCGACGAUCAUUAGCUGGUCUGAGAGGAUGAUCAGCCAGACUGGGACUGAGAACGGCCCAGACUCCUACGGGAGGCAGCAGUAGGGAAUUUUCCACAAUGGGCGAAAGCCUGAUGGAGCAACGCCGCGUGCAGGAUGAAGGCCUUCGGGUCGUAAACUGCUUUUAUAUGUGACGAAUAUGACGGUAGCAUAUGAAUAAGGAUCGGCUAACUCCGUGCCAGCAGCCGCGGUA
rnacentral:rRNA from 1 species